GAAGCUUCGAUUAAGGUUCGAUUCGAGCGCAGCGAGAAAGCGUUGCCGCAGGCAACGACCCGAAGGGCGAAGCGCGCAGCGCUGAGUCAUCCUUCCCCCACCACCA
rnacentral:sRNA from 3 species